UAGGGAAUCUUCGGCAAUGGACGAAAGUCUGACCGAGCAACGCCGCGUGAGUGAAGAAGUUUUUCGGAUCGUAAAACUCUGUUGUUAGAGAAGAACAAGGACGUUAGUAACUGAACGUCCCCUGACGGUAUCUAACCAGAAAGCCACGGCUAACUACGUGCCAUCAGCCGCGGUAAUACGUAGGUGGCAAGCUUUGUCCGGAUUUAUUGGGCGUAAAGCGAGCGCAGGCGGUUUCUUAAGUCUGAUGUGAAAGCCCCCGGCUCAACCGGGGAGGGUCAUUGGAAACUGGGAGACGUGAGUGCAGAAGAGGAGAGUGGAAUUCCAUGUGUAGCGGUGAGAUGAGUAGAUAUAUGGGGGAACACCAGUGGCGAAGGCGGCUCUGUGGUCAGUAACUGACGCAGAGACUCGAAAGAGUGGAGAGCAAACAGG
rnacentral:rRNA from 1 species